AUGCGAUCACCUCCCACCUCCGAGGCCGGGGCAGCCAUCUUCAGCAGGGGGAGGAGCAGGGGAGCCUCUCCGAGCCGACCCGGGAGCAGAAAGGGAGGAGCGGCGCGGCGGGGCCCGGGCGCGCCCUUGCGGGGCGUGAGGGUCGGAGACCCGGGAGGCGGCAGUCCCGCCCUCCCGGCCGGCUCCCUCGCUCCGGGGGAAGGGGGAGGGGAGCCAGACAAAAACCCAAACCGCGUGCACCCAGCGGGCGAGCGCUCCCCCCCACCCCCCCGCCAAGCCGCCGCCAGCACCUGCCGCGGGGGCUCACCGCCGCCCCUCCGCUCCCUCCCCCGCCGCCGCAAAGUUUUCACUCCGGCUCUGGAGUGUAGACGGCUCACCGAGACCCCCUCCCCCCGGGCCAGCUCCUUUGCUCCCCACUCGCUGCACGCUCGUCAGCGCCCCUCGCCGAAAGCAACGACCGAGCCCUUGCCCGAGUCCCUGCCUGGAGCAAGGCCGCCCAGGCUCCGACCUGCCGCGGGCGGGGGGAGGGGGGGGGCCUGGUCGCCUGCCCUCCCGCCCGGUUCUUAUCGCCGCUCACACUCCGGGGGAAGUUGCCCCGAAGCCGUUGGCGGCCGCCCCCGCGGAACCCACGAACUUGGAGGAGAAGGGGGCGGGCGCCGGGCGGGGUGGGGAGCGCGGAGAACGCCCCCCGCCCGCCCCCCGCGGCGCGCUCACCUUUCAUGCCAGGGCCCCGCAGCUCCACCUCGGCUGACACAUGCUGGAGCCACCGUCGCCCAGUGUUUGUCUAAACUGCUUAUCUCACCCGGGGCUGCUCGGCGGUGGCGGCGGCGGCUCGGGCCCGCUGGGGAGGUGGAGCUUCCGGGGCCCCAGCCAAGAAACACCUGCUGCUGUCGCCGCCGCCGAGGACACACCCAAGCGCAACGCCGCCCACUCCCGGGCCACUGGCUCGCUCCGGGCUCCCUGACCUCAGCCAGCGGGAGGUGUCGGGUUUCAGCCGCAAACACGCGCGCACGCGCGCGCGCGCACCGAGGGGCGCCCGGGUACACCCGCGCGAGCACACGCCCCUCCCCAGCCACGCCGGCCAGGUGA
rnacentral:lncRNA from 1 species